UGCCUGCAAAUAAAUGUACAAGGAAAGCAUGAGGCAGAAUAUGGAGGAAGAUGAGCCUGGAGAGAAAGGCUGAAGCAUCUUCCAAGCAUCUCUCUGAGAAGUACCUGGUGGUUGGUUUGCAAAAGAAAGCAGGCAAGGGACUUUGCUGUCAGCUUGAAGGAAAAGGAAAAUCAUCUGCUAUCUCCUGCAUCCUCUGGUUGGCUUCAGACAACAGCUCUCAGUGAACUUUCCAUGGUAUCUUCACCUCAAGGAACACAAAAGACUAUACAGAAGUUCAAGGGUAAAAAAGACACUGACUCCCCUUGGCCAGGUGGAUUACAGCGUCCCGAAGAACUUCAGAGUCUGAGGGAAUGCCUGAUUGGGAGAAAUGUGCUUGAGAGGGCAUUCUGCCCAACACAAGGGCCUCUCAAGUGCCCUUUGAUGGGUGCUGAGCAGGUAUAACUAUAAUGAGCCUUGAUCCCUUGCUUGAGUGAAUUCUACACCUGGACUCAAAUCCAUAAUGAAUCAUCAGCUGGUGUCCAAGUUACCCUCUCAGGAGGACAGCUGGGCGAAAAGGU